GGGUCGUUAGCUCAGUUGGUAGAGCAGUUGACUUUUAAUCAAUUGGUCAGCAGGUUCGAAUCCUGCACGACCCACCA
rnacentral:tRNA from 1 species